UACGUAGGCAGCAAGCGUUGUUCGGAGUUACUGGGCGUAAAGGGCGCGUAGGCGGCCGUUCAAGUUUGGCGUGAAAUCUCCCGGCUCAACCGGGAGGGUGCGCCGAAUACUGAGUGGCUAGAGUGCGGGAGAGGAAAGUGGAAUUCCUGGUGUAGCGGUGAAAUGCGUAGAUAUCAGGAGGAACACCGGUGGUGUAGACGGCUUUCUGGACCGUGACUGACGCUGAGGCGCGAAAGCGUGGGUAGCAAACAGG
rnacentral:rRNA from 1 species